rnacentral:rRNA from 1 species
UACGAAGGGGGCUAGCGUUGUUCGGAAUUACUGGGCGUAAAGCGCGUGUAGGCGGCAGGCCAAGUCUGCGGUGAAAGCGCCCGGCUCAACUGGGCGAGGUCCGUGGAAACUGGUCAGCUGGAGGACGGUAGAGGCGAGUGGAAUUCCCGGUGUAGUGGUGAAAUGCGUAGAGAUCGGGAGGAACACCUGUGGCGAAGGCGGCUCGCUGGGCCGGUCCUGACGCUGAGACGCGAAGGCGUGGGGAGCGAACGGG